GUCCCUUUUGAGACAUUCGAUAAAAUUGGAAUGAUACAAAGAAGAUUCGCAUGGACCUUGUGCAAGAAUGACAUGCACACGUCUAAAUGUAUAAUAUAUCAAA